rnacentral:rRNA from 1 species
GACGUAGGCUGCAAGCGUUAUCCGGAAUUAUUGGGCGUAAAGAGUUCGUAGGUGGUUUAUUAAGUUGGAUGUUAAAUCCCUGAGCUUAACUCAGGAUUGGUGUUCAAAACUGGUAGACUAGAGACAGGUAGAGGUAGAUGGAAUUCUGUAUGUAGGGGUAAUAUCCGUAGAUAUACAGAGGAACACCAAAAGCGAAGGCAGUCUACUGGACCUGUUCUGACACUCAAGAACGAAAGCGUGGGGAGCAAACGGG